rnacentral:miRNA from 1 species
CUGGAGAGCAGGAAGAGCUGUGU